GACGAACGCUGGCGGCGUGCCUAAUACAUGCAAGUUGAGCGAUGAAGAUUGGUGCUUGCACCAAUUUGAAGAGCAGCGAACGGGUGAGUAACGCGUGGGGAAUCUGUCUUUGAGCGGGGGACAACAUUUGGAAACGAAUGCUAAUACCGCAUAACAACUUUAAACAUAAGUUUUAAGUUUGAAAGAUGCAAUUGCAUCACUCAAAGAUGAUCCCGCGUUGUAUUAGCUAGUUGGUGAGGUAAAGGCUCACCAAGGCGAUGAUACAUAGCCGACCUGAGAGGGUGAUCGGCCACAUUGGGACUGAGACACGGCCCAAACUCCUACGGGAGGCAGCAGUAGGGAAUCUUCGGCAAUGGACGAAAGUCUGACCGAGCAACGCCGCGUGAGUGAAGAAGGUUUUCGGAUCGUAAAACUCUGUUGGUAGAGAAGAACGUUGGUGAGAGUGGAAAGCUCAUCAAGUGACGGUAACUACCCAGAAAGGGACGGCUAACUACGUG
rnacentral:rRNA from 1 species